rnacentral:rRNA from 1 species
CAGGGAAUCUUGCGCAAUGGGCGAAAGCCUGACGCAGCAACGCCGCGUGGGGGAUGAAGGCCUUCGGGUUGUAAACCCCUUUCAGGAGGGAAGAAAUUGACGGUACCUCCAAAAGAAGGACCGGCCAACUACGUGCCAGCAGCCGCGGUAAUACGUAGGGUCCGAGCGUUAUCCGGAAUCAUUGGGCGUAAAGAGCUCGUAGGCGGUUCAGCAAGUCGGCUGUGAAAGUCCGGGGGCUCAACCCCGGAAUUGCAGUCGAUACUGCUGUGACUCGAGUCCGGUAGAGGAGAAUGGAAUUCCCGGUGUAGCGGUGAAAUGCGCAGAUAUCGGGAGGAACACCAGUAGCGAAGGCGGUUCUCUGGGCCGGCACUGACGCUGAGGAGCGAAAGCGUGGGGAGCAAACAGGAUUAGAUACCCUGGUAGUCCACGCCGUAAACGUUGGAUACUAGGUGUGGCGGUUAUACCAAUGACUGCCGUGCCGAAGCUAACGCAUUAAGAU